UGGGGGAGGGCUCGCUUGCCGUGGGGGCAAGGCGGGAGGGCGAACCGGACAUGCUCAGUUCUGGCUAUAUGAGUGAUGCAGUUGUGACUUCCUUGAAAGAUAGGUCUUGUUUAAUCAGCAGACAGUUCCCCUUUGUGUAUUUCAUGGAUGGUGCAAAGACUUGUUCAAACCAGUAGUGAAGAAUCAAGAGGAGGAAGCAUCCCAAAAGGUGUCAAAAAAGAAACUGGACAAAGGAGCUAACAAACUUGGUGCUGCCCAAGCUGCAUCAUGAUCUUCCUGUGAGAAAUGUUGCCGGUGCCUUCAGUUGCAGUGGCUCCAGUCUCCAAAUGUACAAAGAUGGUUAAUACGAAUGAGGAAUGCACUUCAUGACAGGAAUCAGCUGAUUUUUUCUUGGGCUAUUGAUGUUAUCAGCAGAUCCUGUGCCUCGGCAUAUUAUUUUUCAUAGAAUGUAUAGCAUCAAUUUCACUAGUUGUACAGAAAUAUGACAUGCUCAAUCAAAGAGUUUUUGCAUAAUUCA